GAUGAACGCUGGCGGCGUGCCUAAUACAUGCAAGUCGAGCGAACGGACGAGAAGCUUGCUUCUCUGAUGUUAGCGGCGGACGGGUGAGUAACACGUGGAUAACCUACCUAUAAGACUGGGAUAACUUCGGGAAACCGGAGCUAAUACCGGAUAAUAUUUUGAACCGCAUGGUUCAAAAGUGAAAGACGGUCUUGCUGUCACUUAUAGAUGGAUCCGCGCUGCAUUAGCUAGUUGGUAAGGUAACGGCUUACCAAGGCAACGAUGCAUAGCCGACCUGAGAGGGUGGUCGGCCACACUGGAACUGAGACACGGUCCAGACUCCUACGGGAGGCAGCAGUAGGGAAUCUUCCGCAAUGGGCGAAAGCCUGACGGAGCAACGCCGCGUGAGUGAUGAAGGUCUUCGGAUCGUAAAACUCUGUUAUUAGGGAAGAACAUAUGUGUAAGUAACUGUGCACAUCUUGACGGUACCUAAUCAGAAAGCCACGGCUAACUACGUGCCAGCAGCCGCGGUAAUACGUAGGUGGCAAGCGUUAUCCGGAAUUAUUGGGCGUAAAGCGCGCGUAGGCGGUUUUUUAAGUCUGAUGUGAAAGCCCACGGCUCAACCGUGGAGGGUCAUUGGAAACUGGAAAACUUGAGUGCAGAAGAGGAAAGUGGAAUUCCAUGUGUAGCGGUGAAAUGCGCAGAGAUAUGGAGGAACACCAGUGGCGAAGGCGACUUUCUGGUCUGUAACUGACGCUGAUGUGCGAAAGCGUGGGGAUCAAACAGGAUUAGAUACCCUGGUAAUCCACGCCGUAAACGAUGAGUGCUAAGUGUUAGGGGGUUUCCGCCCCUUAGUGCUGCAGCUAACGCAUUAAGCACUCCGCCUGGGGAGUACGACCGCAAGGUUGAAACUCAAAGGAAUUGACGGGGACCCGCACAAGCGGUGGAGCAUGUGGUUUAAUUCGAAGCAACGCGAAGAACCUUACCAAAUCUUGACAUCCUUUGACAACUCUAGAGAUAGAGCCUUCCCCUUCGGGGGACAAAGUGACAGGUGGUGCAUGGUUGUCGUCAGCUCGUGUCGUGAGAUGUUGGGUUAAGUCCCGCAACGAGCGCAACCCUUAAGCUUAGUUGCCAUCAUUAAGUUGGGCACUCUAAGUUGACUGCCGGUGACAAACCGGAGGAAGGUGGGGAUGACGUCAAAUCAUCAUGCCCCUUAUGAUUUGGGCUACACACGUGCUACAAUGGACAAUACAAAGGGCAGCGAAACCGCGAGGUCAAGCAAAUCCCAUAAAGUUGUUCUCAGUUCGGAUUGUAGUCUGCAACUCGACUACAUGAAGCUGGAAUCGCUAGUAAUCGUAGAUCAGCAUGCUACGGUGAAUACGUUCCCGGGUCU
rnacentral:rRNA from 1 species